rnacentral:rRNA from 1 species
UACGUAGGGGCCUAGCGUUGUCCGGAAUUAUUGGGCGUAAAGAGCUCGUAGGCGGUUCGGCAAGUCGGAUGUGAAAUCUCCACGCUCAACGUGGAGGGGCCAUUCGAAACUGCCGUGACUCGAGUCCGGUAGGGGAGUGUGGAAUUCCCGGUGUAGCGGUGAAAUGCGUAGAGAUCGGGAAGAACACCGGUGGCGAAAGCGCUCUACUGGACGGCAUCUGACACUCACAGGACGAAAGCUAGGGGAGCGAAUGGG